GACAGAGGCCUCAAGCGUUAGGCGGAAUCACUGGGCUUAAAGCGUGUGUAGGCGGAUCGUUAAGUGCCUUGUGAAAUCCCACGGCUCACCCGUGGAACUGCUGGGCAUACUGGCGAUCUUGGGCCAACUAGGGGCAACUGGAACAAGCGGUGGAGCGGUGAAAUGCGUAGAUAUCGCUUGGAACGCCGAAGGUGAAAACAGGUUGCUGGGGUUGUGCCGACGCUGAGACACGAAAGCCAGGGGAGCAAACGGG
rnacentral:rRNA from 1 species